rnacentral:rRNA from 1 species
AUUGAAGGCUGGCGGCAUGCCUUACACAUGCAAGUCGAACGGUAACAGGUCUUCGGAUGCUGACGAGUGGCGAACGGGUGAGUAAUACAUCGGAACGUGCCUAGUAGUGGGGGAUAACUACUCGAAAGAGUGGCUAAUACCGCAUGAGAUCUACGGAUGAACACAGGGGAUCGCAAGACCUUGUGCUACUAGAGCGGCCGAUGGCAGAUUCGGUAGUUGGUGGGAUAAAAGCUUACCAAGCCGACGAUCUGUAGCUGGGCUGAGAGGACGAUCAGCCACACUGGGACUGAGACACGGCCUAGACUCCUACGGGAGGCAGCAGUGGGGAAUUUUGGACAAUGGGCGAAAGCCUGAUCCAGCAAUGCCGCGUGCAGGAUGAAGGCCUUCGGGUUGUAAACUGCUUUUGUACGGAACGAAAAGCCCCGGGUUAAUACCCUGGGGUCAUGACGGUACCGUAAGAAUAAGCACCGGCUAACUACGUGCCAGCCGCCGCGGUAA